GAUGAACGCUGGCGGCGUGCCUAACACAUGCAAGUCGAGCGAACAGACCAGGAGCUUGUUCCUCUGACGCUAGCGGCGGAUGGGUGAGUAACACGUGGAUAACCUACCUAUAAGACUGGGAUACCUCCGGGAAACCGGAGCUAAUACCGGAUAAUAUACUGAACCGCAUGGUUCAAUAGUGAAAGACGGCUUUGCUGUCACCUAUAGAUGGAUCCGCGCUGCAUUAGCUAGUUGGUAAGGUAACGGCUUACCAAGGCAACGAUGCGUAGCCGACCUGAGAGAGUGAUCGGCCGCACUGGAACUGAGACACGGUCCAGACUCCUACGGGAGGCAGCAGUAGGGAAUCUUCCGCAAUGGGCGAAAGCCUGACGGAGCAACGCCACGUGAGUGAUGAAGGUCUUCGGAUCGUAAAGCUCUGUUAUUAGGGAAGAACAAAUGUGUAAGUAACUAUGCACGUCUUGACGGUACCUAGUCAGAAAGCCACGGCUAACUGCGUG
rnacentral:rRNA from 1 species